UUUGAGAGAACAUUAGAAAAUCUUAGUAUGCCUUUCUUUCCCCAGUGAUGUUCUGCCAUGGACGGCAGAACAAGGCUUCACGAGCCACGGAUGGCUCGUUGAAUGCCGUUCACGUCACCUCAAAAUAAUCCUCGUCAGGCAUACCUAGACUUUUCUUCUGUUCUCCCAUU
rfam:Roseburia sp. 831b contig000010, whole genome shotgun sequence.